AGGGUUUGAUUCUGGCUCAGGAUGAACGCUGGCGGCGUGCCUAACACAUGCAAGUCGAACGAAGCGAUUUAACGGAAGUUUUCGGAUGGAAGUUGAAUUGACUGAGUGGCGGACGGGUGAGUAACGCGUGGGUAACCUGCCUUGUACUGGGGGACAACAGUUAGAAAUGACUGCUAAUACCGCAUAAGCGCACAGUAUCGCAUGAUACAGUGUGAAAAACUCCGGUGGUACAAGAUGGACCCGCGUCUGAUUAGCUAGUUGGUAAGGUAACGGCUUACCAAGGCGACGAUCAGUAGCCGACCUGAGAGGGUGACCGGCCACAUUGGGACUGAGACACGGCCCAA
rnacentral:rRNA from 1 species